CACGCUUCGGCCCAAAGAAAUUCUCAGCCCAAUGCGAUAUCUUACCGAGAAGAAACCCAAUUUGGGGCACGCGAAAGUUUGCCAUAUGCGCUUAUACACAUGCCACGCCAAGCAAAUAAACAACAUGCCAUGCUACAAGCUUAAGUGGGCCCAAGCCACGCAAGAUGCCCGGGGCUUGCUUGAGUGGGUUGUGGUAUGGA
rnacentral:lncRNA from 1 species